GUGGGGAAUAUUGGACAAUGGGCGAAAGCCUGAUCCAGCCAUGCCGCGUGUGUGAAGAAGGUCUUCGGAUUGUAAAGCACUUUAAGUUGGGAGGAAGGGCAGUAAGUUAAUACCUUGCUGUUUUGACGUUACCGACAGAAUAAGCACCGGCUAACUUCGUGCCAGCAGCCGCGGUAAUACGAAGGGUGCAAGCGUUAAUCGGAAUUACUGGGCGUAAAGCGCGCGUAGGUGGUUUUGUAAGUUGGAGGUGAAAUCCCCGGGCUCAACCUGGGAACGGGCUCCAAAACUGCAUGACUAGAGUACGGUAGAGGGUAGUGGAAUUUCCUGUGUAGCGGUGAAAUGCGUAGAUAUAGGAAGGAACACCAGUGGCGAAGGCGACUACCUGGACUGAUACUGACACUGAGGUGCGAAAGCGUGGGGAGCAAACAGGAUUAGAAACCCGGGUAGUCC
rnacentral:rRNA from 1 species